rnacentral:miRNA from 1 species
CAACUUAAAAUCAGUUGGCAAU